rnacentral:rRNA from 1 species
UCCCUACGGGGGGCAGCAGUGGGGGAUAUUGCACAAUGGGGGAAACCCUGAUGCAGCGACGCCGCGUGGGUGAAGAAGUAUUUCGGUAUGUAAAGCCCUAUCAGCAGGGAAGAAAGAAGACGGUACCUGACUAAGAAGCCCCGGCUAACUACGUGCCAGCAGCCGCGGUAAUACGUAGGGGGCGAGCGUUAUCCGGAUUCACUGGGUGUAAAGGGAGCGUAGACGGUUAUGCAAGUCUGAAGUGAAAGCCCAAGGCUCAACCAUGGGACUGCUUUGGAAACUGUAAAACUGGAGUGCAGGAGAGG